rnacentral:rRNA from 1 species
AGUGAACGCUGGCGGUAGGCCUAACACAUGCAAGUCGAACGGCAGCACAGGGGAGCUUGCUCCCUGGGUGGCGAGUGGCGGACGGGUGAGGAAUACAUCGGAAUCUACUCUGUCGUGGGGGAUAACGUAGGGAAACUUACGCUAAUACCGCAUACGACCUACGGGUGAAAGUGGGGGACCGCAAGGCCUCACGCGAUUGAAUGAGCCGAUGUCGGAUUAGCUAGUUGGCGGGGUAAAGGCCCACCAAGGCGACGAUCCGUAGCUGGUCUGAGAGGAUGUUCAGCAACACGGGAACUGGGGCACGGUACAGACUCCUGCGGGAGGCAGCAGUGGGGAAUAUUGGGCAAUGGGCGCAAGCCUGAUCCAGCCAUACCGCGUGGGUGAAGAAGGCCUUCGGGUUGUAAAGCCCUUUUGUUGGGAAAGAAAUCCUGUUGGUUAAUACCCGGCAGGGAUGACGGUACCCAAAGAAUAAGCACCGGCUAACUUCGUGCCAGCAGCCGCCGUAA